GUAAUGCAUUUAACUCAUGACUUUUAAGUUUAUAAACUAUCAGUUGUUACGGAUACUUUAGUAUGUUAAUUUCGGCAUUCUGCUACAAUCAUUGAAAAUUGGAAAUCUGUACACUUCCUCGAUGUAUGACAAUGCACAACUAACAAAAAUUCAUUUCAUUUCUUCCAGCAUAAAUGAAGGUAACUAUAAACAUGCACAAUUUUAAAACCAUAUACGAGAAAGACUAAAUCUACUUGGGCAUAGGAGGGGUAUCCAUGAAAAUCUUGGAUCCAGCACCAGGAGGAUAUCUAGCACCAAUUACCUCAGCGUUGUCACAAGCUUCACGAAUUUCCUUAACAGUGGCAUCGGAUAAUUUAACCUUGAGAGCGCCAAAGUUCUCCUCCAAGUAUUUAACACGUUUGGUACCAGGAAUGGGAAGAAUAUCGUCACCUUGGGCUAACAACCAAGCCAAACUAAGCUGGCCAGGUGUGAUAUUGUUGGCAGUGGCAAUUUUUUCAAUCUUUGUAACAAGCUCCAAGUUCUUGUAGAAGUUUUCCUUUUGAUAACGAGGGGCCUUUCUGCGGAAAUCGCCCUCAGGGAAAUCAUCAGGGGAUUUGUAUGCACCAGUCAAGAAACCACGGCCAAGAGGGGCAUAGCAAACAAUGGUGAUAUUGUUUUCGCGGCAAGCCUUCAUGACACCAAUUUCAGGGCGCUCAAUCUCCAAAGAGAAGGGAGAAUACUCAACUUGAACGGCACUGACCGGAUAAACAGCGGCUGCACGACGAAUGGUGUUAGCACUGCAUUCAGAAAGACCAAUGUAACGAAUCUUUCCAGCUUCAACGCACUUCUUAAGGGCGCCCAUGAUCUUUUCAAUAGGAGUCUCACCGCUGAAGCGAUGGACGUAGUAAAGAUCAAUGCAAUCAAUACCCAAACGCUUCAAAGAAAGAUCAAGUGCCUUUUCAAUGUAAUCAGGCUCGUUGUUCAAAGAGAGCUCGCCAGUCUCGGGAUUCUUCUCAUAGCCAAACUUGGUAGCCAAGAAAAUCUCCUUACGGCGUCCAGUUUGCUUGAACCAACGACCAAUGCACUCCUCAUUGGCACCAAAUCCGUACAUGUCAGAGCUGUCCCAAAAGGUGCAACCCAAGUCAGCGGCAUGAGUCAAGACAGCUUGGUUGGCUUCUUCGGAAGAAGGCCCAUACAUGGCGUGCAAACCCAUGCAACCAAAGCCGAUUGCAGGCACAGUAUCGUUUCCAAUUUUACGAGUAGGGAUAGACAUUUCUGAAUUCCAAUUUCCUAAUGCUAAUGCGAGUGGUAAUGGGUUUAGUUCACAAAGAAGACUGGCGAUGAAUCAAAGAGAAAAAGGCUAUCUCGAGUUUCUUUACCUUGCAACGUAGAGUUAUGGAGGAAGACAGGUUUAAAAAGAUGCGAGAAAGCCACUAUUUAUUGCAUAAGUUGGGAGGCCUAAGAACCGGUGAUGGAACUUGUACGUUCCCCAUGAUAUCGGAUUAUGGGCCUCGUUCCCUUUUGCAUCACUAAUCUUAUGAAAUUCGGAUUCUGGGUGUAUAUAUCCUUGUAGCGGUAUCGCGGUAUCUUGCAGUAAAUAUCAUUAUACCAUUUAAUAUGAAUUAACAAGAAAGAAUAACAAAGUAAGGGAACGAGACAAGAUGGUCCUAAGAAAGGCUGAGAAAUCACUUUUUUUGCUAGUCAUAUACUUAUUGAAAUAAAAACGGUAUAGUUGCUGUAAUGAAGUUCAGUAGGUGCUGAAUUGCAUCAAUUUAGGUAGUCUGUUUACAUACUUUAGAACCCACUUUUAGCUUGAUUGUGUAUUGUAGUGUCACAGGAACAAAAUACAUUUUCCU